UAUUGCACAAUGGGGGAAACCCUGAUGCAGCGAUGCCGCGUGAAUGAAGACGGCCUUCGGGUUGUAAAGUUCUGUCGCAGGGGACGAAGAUGACGGUACCUGAAGAAGAAGCCCCGGCUAACUACGUGCCAGCAGCCACGGUAAUACGUCGGGGGCAAGCGUUAUCCGGAUUUACUGGGUGUAAAGGGAGCGUAGGUGGCAGGGCAAGUCAGAUGUGAAAACCCGGGGCUCAACCCCGGGAGUGCAUUUGAAACUGUCCAGCUGGAGUGCAGGAGAGGUAAGCGGAAUUCCUAGUGUAGCGGUGAAAUGCAUAGAUAUUAGGAGGAACACCAGUGGCGAAGGCGGCUUACUGGACUGUAACUGACACUGAGGCUCGAAAGCGUGGGGAGCAAACAGGA
rnacentral:rRNA from 1 species